rnacentral:lncRNA from 1 species
AUGGUAGAUAAAUUUAAAAUACUUAUUUUGUAUGCACUUAAAGAUAUAAAAGUAGUAGAUAUAAGAAAAAUCAUAUUAGAAAAAGCAUUUGGUAAAUAUUAUAUGACUAGAGUAAAUUAUAUACCAUACCUGCCAAACUACUCUUACAAAUACUUACCAUGAUAAAUUACAUAGAAUUUUUAGAAAAAGAUAUGAGCAACAUA